UUUCGAAUCAUUCACAAUGGACGAAAGUCUGAUGGUGCAACGCCGCGUGAGGGAUGAAGGUCUUCGGAUUGUAAACCUCUGUCAUUAGGGACCAAAGGUAAGGUUCAUAGCCUUAUUUGAGAUAACCUAAAGAGGAAGUAGUGGCAAACUCUGUGCCAGCAGCCGCGGUAAUACAGAGACUACGAACGUUACUCGGAUUCACUGGGCGUAAAGGGUGCGCAGGCGGUUAGGUGUGUUAGAUGUGAAAUACCGGAGCUUAACUCCGGGGCUGCGUCUAAAACUACCUAGCUAGAGUUUUGGAGGGGGAAGCGGAAUUCCAGGAGUAGCAGUGAAAUGCGUAGAUAUCUGGAGGAACACCAAUGGCGAAGGCAGCUUACUGGACAAAAACUGACGCUCAUGCACGAAAGCGUGGGGAGCAAAAA
rnacentral:rRNA from 1 species